rfam:Brachypodium distachyon strain Bd21 chromosome 1, whole genome shotgun sequence.
UAUAUAUUUCCUCUGUCCAAUAAAUGAUGUCUCAACUUUGACUAAAUUUAAAUGCAUCUAUACACUAAGUCAUGUCUAGAUACCUAUAAAUUUUGACAAACUUGAGACAUCUUUUGUUGGACGGAGGGACUAGACA